GACGAACGCUGGCGGCGUGCUUAACACAUGCAAGUCGAACGGAAAGGCCCUGCUUUUGUGGGGUGCUCGAGUGGCGAACGGGUGAGUAACACGUGAGUAACCUGCCCUUGACUUUGGGAUAACUUCAGGAAACUGGGGCUAAUACCGGAUAGGAGCUCCUGCUGCAUGGUGGGGGUUGGAAAGUUUCGGCGGUUGGGGAUGGACUCGCGGCUUAUCAGCUUGUUGGUGGGGUAGUGGCUUACCAAGGCUUUGACGGGUAGCCGGCCUGAGAGGGUGACCGGCCACAUUGGGACUGAGAUACGGCCCAGACUCCUACGGGAGGCAGCAGUGGGGAACAUUGCACAAUGGGCGGAAGCCUGAUGCAGCAACGCCGCGUGCGGGAUGACGGCCUUCGGGUUGUAAACCGCUUUCGCCUGUGACGAAGCGUGAGUGACGGUAAUGGGUAAAGAAGCACCGCCUAACUACGUG
rnacentral:rRNA from 1 species